rnacentral:rRNA from 1 species
GAUGAACGCUAGCGGCAGGCUUAAUACAUGCAAGUCGUGGGGCAGCAUGAGUGUAGCAAUACAUUUGAUGGCGACCGGCAAACGGGUGCGGAACACGUACACAACCUUCCUUCAAGUGGGGAAUAGCCCAGGGAAACUUGGAUUAAUACCCCGUAAUAUUAUGGAGUGGCAUCACUUUAUAAUUAUAGCUCCGGCGCUUGAUGAUGGGUGUGCGCCUGANAGGUAGUUGGCGGGGUAACGGCCCACCAAGCCUUCGAUCAGUAACCGGUGUGAGAGCACGACCAGUCACACGGGCACUGAGACACGGGCCCGACUCCUACGGGAGGCAGCAGU